GCCUUCGCAUAUCUCCGUGACAACAAAGGACUUUCACCCGGCCUCAUUCGAAAAAGGUGACAAAUACAAUAACUACGAGAACAGCCGCCUAUUUGCAGUCAAAGGCUAAAGAUGCACCUAGACCAGAUCGCAAAGCUCCUUGUGGAUGCCACAAAAAUAGACCCUGCAAUAGUUUGAAAUGUAGGCGACGAGAAUGGUGGAUUACAGGGGAUUUCGAAGGACCCUGCAAGUGUGAAGGAGAAAAGGACUCAAAUUACAGGUAAAGCUUUUCACGUCAAUAGUGCUUACUAAACCCGUAAAAACAUAAUGCAGUAAUUGAAAUGCAUAAUUAUUUAGUUCAGUGCAUAGGUCAGGCCCCUUAGCCUAAAUGCGACUUGAGAAUAUAUCCUUAUGGCUGGGUGGUAUUGCGGCUUCUAUUGACUACUGUUUAUAUUUGGACUUUUAUAAAGAUCGGCAUAACUAGCCUACAUGUCUGUUGGUUAUUAUAUCCCAGUGAUGAAUUUUCACGCGCGCUCAUUGGUCAAUAAGGGUCACGUGCACAAUUUAACAGGACAAAUAUCAGUCGAUAGCGUCCAGCCAAAGUGAGCCCUGUGAACAUUUUUGUGCAGUCAAAACUUACUUUUCGUCUGCUCAAUCCAAGGUUUUCAAACUCUAUGAAGGCAGAGAAAGAAUGCUUUAUUUCUUUCAUAGAAUUAUCAUCAAUAUGUUUUUUUUAGAAUUUAUCCUAAAACGCGAAAGAAAAAGCAAUGACAAAAAACUUUACAACAGCGCGCGCUCGUGGCGUCAUUCUCGUGCACGUCAGCGCGCGCAGAAGACAUUUCGAAAUUUAAAACUUUUGCUUCAAUUUCUAUUCCAGCUCUCAGCAGAACAAUAAGAAAACAGUCUAGGUGAAAAUCCAUCAGUUGAAAUGAAAGUUUUGAGCUUGUAGUUUUUGUUCUUUGGAUUGUUACGUGUCAACCAUAUGCAAUCAUUAAAACAUGCUUUUUAACGUUGUUUGCCGUCUAUCUUUUUCUAGUUUUCUUAGCUUAUACAUCUUACGUUUAUGGAGAUGACAAGCAGAAAAGCAACUCCAACCUAACAGGAAAGUUUGCAGUUUCGACGUGUGCGAUAUAAACCACAAAAAAGUUGCAGCUUUGAAGAUAACUGGUAUAAAUUGUAUCCGUCUAUAGAUCAUCCUGACUGCGACUUUGAUUUGUCAGCGGGCGGAAGAACCAUGUUCCGAUUUUUUGUACACUGUGUAUAAUAUCCCUUUUACUAUUAGGUGACAAAUACAAUAACAACGAGAACAGCCGCCUAUUUGCAGUCAAAGGCUAAAGAUGCACCUAGGCCAGAUCGCAAAGUUCCUUGUGGAUGCCACAAAAAAAGACCCUGCAAUAGUUUGAAAUGUAGGCGACGGAAAUGGUGGAUUACAGGGGAUUUCGAAGGAGCCUGCAAGUGUGAAGGAGAAAAGGACUCAAAUUACAGCUCUCAGCAGAACAAUAAGAAAACAGUCUAGGUGAAAAUCCAUCAGUUGAAAUGCAAGUUUUGAGCUUGUAGUUUUUGUUCUUUGGAUUGUUACGUGUCAACCAUAUGCAAUCAUUAAAACAUGCUUUUUAACGUUGUUUGCCGUCUAUCUUUUUCUAGUUUUCUUAGCUUAUACAUUUUACGUUCAUGGAGAUGACAAGCAGAAAAGCAACUCCACCCUAACAGGAAAGUUUGCAGUUUCGACGUGUUCGAUAUAAACCACAAAAAAGUUGCAGCUUUGAAGAUAACUGGUAUAAAUUGUAUCUGUCUAUAGAUCAUCCUGACUGCGACUUGGAUUUGUCAACGGGCGAAAGAUCCAUGGUCCGAUUUUUUGUACACUGAGUAUAAUAUCCCAUUUACUAUUAGGUGACAAAUACAAUAAGAACGAGAACAGCCGCCUAUUUGCAGUCAAAGGCUAAAGAUGCACCUAGGCCAGAUCGCAAAGCUCCUUGUGGAUGCCACAAAAAAAGACCCUGCAAUAGUUUGAAAUGUAGGCGACGUGAAUGGUGGAUUACAGGGGAUUUCGAAGGAGCCUGCAAGUGUGAAGGAGAAAAGGACUUAAAUUACAGGUAAAGCUUUUCACGUCAAUAGUGCUUACUAACCCCGU